rnacentral:rRNA from 1 species
AUUGGACGCUGGCGGCAUGCCUUACACAUGCAAGUCGAACGGCAGCACGGGUGCUUGCACCUGGUGGCGAGUGGCGAACGGGUGAGUAAUACAUCGGAACAUGUCCUGUAGUGGGGGAUAGCCCGGCGAAAGCCGGAUUAAUACCGCAUACGAUCCACGGAUGAAAGCGGGGGACCUUCGGGCCUCGCGCUAUAGGGUUGGCCGAUGGCUGAUUAGCUAGUUGGUGGGGUAAAGGCCUACCAAGGCGACGAUCAGUAGCUGGUCUGAGAGGACGACCAGCCACACUGGGACUGAGACACGGCCCAGACUCCUACGGGAGGCAGCAGUGGGGAAUUUUGGACAAUGGGCGAAAGCCUGAUCCAGCAAUGCCGCGUGUGUGAAGAGGGCCUUCGGGUUGUAAAGCACUUUUGUCCGGAAAGAAAUCCUUGACUCUAAUACAGUCGGGGGAUGACGGUACCGGAAGAAUAAGCACCGGCUAACUACGUG